rnacentral:rRNA from 1 species
CAGCCGUAAACGAUGCGCGUUAGGUGUAUCGACGACCACGAGUCGUCGAGGUGCCGAAGGGAAACCGUGAAACGUGCCGCCUGGGAAGUACGGUCGCAAGGCUGAAACUUAAAGGAAUUGGCGGGGGAGGCACCACAACAGGUGGAGCCUGCGGUUUAAUUGGACUCAACGCCGGAAAUACUCACCGGAUAAGACAGCAGAAUGAUUGCCGGGCUGAAGACUCUGCAUGACUAGCUGAGAGGUGGUGCAUGGC